rnacentral:lncRNA from 1 species
GUGGAACUAGGGCACAGAAAGUUUGCAGUGGGCAUGGAAGAAAAAAACACAUGAAAGACUCUGAAAAAGCAAGGACAGGGAGUAACAGAGACACAUUACAGGAUAGGCAUCAACAAUGGAAAUGAGCAGAACUCGGCUUUGCACAGAGCUCUUGAGACAUCAACAAAUUGACAAAAACAAGGAUCUCAUCCAUAAGACCACGCUACAUUUGGUCAUCACAUCUCCUCAGACUUCUCUACCCUGGAACAAUUCUCAGACUUUCCUUGUUUGUAAUGGCCUUGGCAGUUGUGAGGAGUACUGGUCAGCGUGCAAAGAAGGCACCGGUACUCUCAUUGCACAUGUAGACUGUCAGACUUGGGCAGAUGAAGGUUCUCAAGGACUGGAAUGAUGCCCACUGUCAUGGGUGAAGGCAGAUCUUCUUUACUCAGGCUAUUGACUCAAAUGCUAUCCUCUUCCAGAGAUACCUUCACAUGCACAUCAAGAAAUAAUGUUUUACCAGCCAUCUUGACAUCCC